rnacentral:lncRNA from 1 species
CCAGACAGCUCCCUCACUUCCUCCCAGGCUUGUUGAACAGAGAUGAGUCUCUCCAAUAUCUCAAAAAAUUCGUCAACAUCCUCUCGAAACAAACCAUCCCGGGCUGAUCGGUUUAGUGGGGGUCUUCCUCUCCUUGUAUCCUUAUAUAUGCAUUUCACAAGGAAAGGUUGAGCAAUAGUUUAUAUUUGGUAUUUUUAAGUCUUUGUAUAAGGGAUGGUUCCGAGGACCGCAGCUCUGAUACCAAUUAUAAAGGCUUGAAAGCUUAAAGGAAAUGAAUUUAUAAUUUAAAUGCGGAAGCGAAUAAGACCAUAAAAACUAUAAACUAAGAACAUGUACUUUAUAAUAACAAGUAAGUAGCACAGUACAGGAAAAUAAACAAGAA